rnacentral:rRNA from 1 species
CACGUAGGGUGCAAGCGUUGUCCGGAAUUAUUGGGCGUAAAGGGCUCGUAGGCGGUCCGUCACGUCGGGAGUGAAAACUCGGGGCUCAACCCCGAGCCUGCUUCCGAUACGGGCGGACUAGAGGUAGGUAGGGGAGAACGGAAUUCCUGGUGUAGCGGUGGAAUGCGCAGAUAUCAGGAGGAACACCGGUGGCGAAGGCGGUUCUCUGGGCCUUACCUGACGCUGAGGAGCUAAAGCGUGGGGAGCGAACAGG